rnacentral:lncRNA from 1 species
UUAAUUUGCUUACAGCAGGGUGAUGUCUUGUUAAUUUUCAGUUAAUUUUUUUUAUUUUGUAAUAUAAGUAAUUGAGUUUACACUUUAAAGUAGUUAUAAUAUUAAUACAUAUUAUUUGAUGUUCGUAAUCUCUAUGCUAACUAUCAAGCUGUCCUAGGCCUGUUCUUAGAUGUGAUUCCUGAUUAGAUAGCAACUGAACUUCUUCUCACAAGAGAAAUAGAGUAUCAAAUCGAUCUUAUAAACGGUUCUGCCUUACCAAGCAAACUGGCCUAUAGAAUGAAUCCGAAAGAGAUC